UUUUUCUUAUUUUUUCUUACAGAGUGGAGGAUAUGUUCUUGGCUUUAAAAUAGACCCAGUGGAAAAACUACAGGAAUCAGUUAAGGAGAUCAACUCACUUCACAAAGUCUAUUCUGCCAGCCCGAUAUUUGGAGUGAAUUAUGAAAUGGAAGAGAAGCCACAGCCACUUGAAGCUCUGACUGUUGAACAAAUUCAAGAUGAUGUGGAAAUAGACUCUGAUGACCACACGGAUGCUUUUGUGGCUUACUUUGCUGAUGGGAAUAAGCAACAAGACCGUGAACCUGUAUUUUCAGAAGAGCUGGGGCUUGCCAUAGAGAAGCUGAAGGACGGAGUCACACUACAGGGGCUUUGGGAAGUGAUGAGUUGAUCUUGAGUUGAGCUGGAUCUCUGUUUAAAGAUAUCUCACGAUUAAAAGAUACUGCUUGCCUGCUAUAGGCAUGAGACAGUUAUCUAUUUAUAGCUUUUAUAUUUUAUAUUUUAAGACUUUUUAAUAAUUAAGGAAAAACUCCUUAAUUUUAGAAAACUAUCAGUUUUCUAAAAGUUACAUUAAAAAUUGUAACUGAAAUGUACCAGAUCUAUAAAUGUAAAUAUUGUACCUGACACUUGUAAAAAUAGUAAUUUUCAGAUAUUAAACAAUUGUAUCAUGUUGCAUUUAAUAAAGAUUUUUAUGCAGUACCACUUAA
rnacentral:lncRNA from 1 species